AUUGAACGCUGGCGGCAUGCUUUACACAUGCAAGUCGGACGAGUGGCGAACGGGUGAGUAACGCAUCGGAACGUACCGAGUAAUGGGGGAUAACUGUCCGAAAGGACAGCUAAUACCGCAUAUUAUUCGAGCGGCCGAUUUCUGAUUAGCUGGUUGGCGGGGUAAAGGCCCACCAAGGCGACGAUCAGUAGCUGGUCUGAGAGGAUGAUCCGCCAAAAUGGGAAUUAGACACGGGCCAGACUCCUACGGGAGGGAGCAGUGGGGAAAUUUGGGAAAUGGGGGCAAGCCUGAUCCCGCCAUGCCGCGGGUCUGAAGAAGGCCUUCGGGUUGUAAAGCUCUGUUAAGCGGGACGCGGUACCGGAAUAGAAAGCAACGGCUAACUACGUGCCAGCAGCCGCGGUAAUUC
rnacentral:rRNA from 1 species